CGAAAGGUUCCGGCUCAAGCUGCACAUUCAGAGCCAGCAAGAGACCCAGACGUGCCCUGUGCAGCUUCCCCUCGGCCUCCCCCCCACACCCCGAGGCAUUCUGGGUCCUGAGAGUUUAUGUAAAAGCACAGGGCAACUUUGUGCUACCUGUCAGAUAACUAAAGAGCUGGGCAUCCAUGGAGGCCUGUGUCUCUGUGAGGCCGCUGCUUUGCUUGAGGGAGCGCAUGGUACAUCUGCUCUGCUUGCUGACUCUCUGCCUCCUUCGGCACCCUUAAGAUGUCAUCACCAAGAUGCCGGGGGCCAGAGCAAAGGACCCCCAACUUCAGGCCACAGAGCUGAUCAGAGACAUUGCCCUGCCCCAGUGCAGGGCAUGACCCUCCCAGCCACGAGGACUAGGAGACAGAUCCGUGGGUCAAGGCUCAGAGAGGUGUGGCAAUAACUUGUGAUGAUGACCCUCACCACCAUCCCUAGGAGGAAGAGGUCCGAAUGUAUAUGUAAAUGUGUGUAAAUGUAUGUUAAUAUACGUGUAAAUAAGAAAGGGACCCAAUCCUCAUGUCUCCCUGAGGAGAGAACCCACAUCCCGACCUCCUGCC